rnacentral:rRNA from 1 species
AGCAGCCGCGGUAAUUCCAGCUCCAAUAGCGUAUAUUAAAGUUGUUGCAGUUAAAAAGCUCGUAGUUGAAUUUCGGGAUUGACGUGAUGGUCGUGCCUUACGGGGUAUGAACUGUUGCAGUCAAUUUCUCACCUUCUGGAGAAAUAUGAUGUCCUUAAUUGGGUGUCAUAUGGAACCAGAACUUUUACCUUGAAAAAUUAGAGUGUUUAAAGCAGGCUUAUUGCUCGAAUACAUUAGCAUGGAAUAAUAGAAUAGGACGGCAUGGUUCUAUUUUGUUGGUUUCUAGGAUCACCGUAAUGAUUAAUAGGGAUAGUUGGGGGCAUUAGUAUUCAAUUGUCAGAGGUGAAAUUCUUGGAUUUAUUGAAGACUAACUACUGCGAAAGCAUUUGCCAAGGAUGUUUUCAUUAAUCAAGAACGAAAGUUAGGGGAUCGAAGACGAUCAGAUACCGUCGUAGUCUUAACCAUAAACUAUGCCGACUAGG